AACGAACGCUGGCGGCGUGCUUAGCACAUGCAAGUCGAACGCGAAAGGGACUUCGGUCCUGAGUAGAGUGGCGCACGGGUGAGUAACGCGUAAGUAAUCUACCCCUGUAUUCGGAAUAACCCACCGAAAGGUGAGCUAAUACCGGAUACGUUUAUCUUGAUGCGAAUGAUGAUAAAGAAAGGUGGCCUCUUCAUGAAAGCUACUGUACAGGGACGAGCUUGCGUACCAUUAGCUAGUUGGUAGGGUAAUGGCCUACCAAGGCGACGAUGGUUAGCGGGUCUGAGAGGAUGAUCCGCCACACUGGAACUGGAACACGGACCAGACUCCUACGGGAGGCAGCAGUGAGGAAUAUUGCGCAAUGGGGGCAACCCUGACGCAGCGACGCCGCGUGGAUGAUGAAGGCCCUUGGGUCGUAAAAUCCUGUCAGAUGGAAAGAAAUGUAUAUGUGCUAACAUCGCAUAUAUUUGACGGUACCAUCAAAGGAAGCACCGGCUAACUCCGUGCCAGCAGCCGCCGUAA
rnacentral:rRNA from 1 species